GCAGCAGUGGGGAUAUGCACAAUGGGGGAAACCUGAUGCAGCGACGCAGCGUGCGGGAUGACGGCCUUCGGGUUGUAAACCGCUUUCAGCAGGGAAGAAGCCUUUAUCGGUGACGGUACCUGCAGAAGAAGUACCGGCUAACUACGUGCCAGCAGCCGCGGUAAUACGUAGGGUACAAGCGUUGUCCGGAAUUAUUGGGCGUAAAGAGCUCGUAGGUGGUUGGUCACGUCUGCUGUGGAAACGCAACGCUUAACGUUGCGCGUGCAGUGGGUACGGGCUGACUAGAGUGCAGUAGGGGAGUCUGGAAUUCCUGGUGUAGCGGUGAAAUGCGCAGGUAUCAGGAGGAACACCGGUGGCGAAGGCGGGACUCUGGGCUGUAACUGACACUGAGGAGCGAAAGCAUGGGGAGCGAACAGGAUUAGAUACCCUGGUAGUCCAUGCCGUAAACGUUGGGCACUAGGUGUGGGGGACAUUCCACGUUCUCCGCGCCGUAGCUAACGCAUUAAGUGCCCCGCCUGGGGAGUACGGUCGCAAGGCUAAAACUCAAAGGAAUUGACGGGGGCCCGCACAAGCGGCGGAGCAUGCGGAUUAAUUCGAUGCAACGCGAAGAACCUUACCAAGGCCUGACAUACACCAGACCGUUCUGGAAACAGUUCCUCCCCUUUGGGGUUGGUGUACAGGUGGUGCAUGGUUGUCGUCAGCUCGUGUCGUGAGAUGUUGGGUUAAGUCCCGCAACGAGCGCAACCCUCGUUCUAUGUUGCCAGCACGUAAUGGUGGGAACUCAUAGGAGACUGCCGGGGUCAACUCGGAGGAAGGUGGGGAUGACGUCAAAUCAUCAUGCCCUUUAUGUCUUGGGCUUCACGCAUGCUACAAUGGCCGGUACAGAGAGAUGCGAGACCGCGAGGUUUUAGCGAAUCCCUUAAAGCCAGUCUCAGUUCGGAUCGUAGUCUGCAAUUCGACUACGUGAAGUCGGAGUCGCUAGUAAUCGCAGAUCAGCACGNGC
rnacentral:rRNA from 1 species